rnacentral:rRNA from 1 species
AGAGUUUGAUCCUGGCUCAGAACGAACGCUGGCGGCAGGCCUAACACAUGCAAGUCGAGCGAGAACGGUUCUUCGGAACUUAUUAGAGCGGCGCACGGGUGAGUAACGCGUGGGAAUGUACCCUUUGGUACAGAAUAGCCUCGGGAAACUGGGAUUAAUACCGUAUACGCCCUUCGGGGGAAAGAUUUAUCGCCAAAGGAUCAGCCCGCGUGACAUUAGAUAGUUGGUGGGGUAAUGGCCUACCAAGUCUACGAUGUCUAGCUGGUUUGAGAGGAUGAUCAGCCACACUGGAACUGAGACACGGUCCAGACUCCUACGGGAGGCAGCAGUGAGGGAUAUUGCGCAAUGGAGGAAACUCUGACGCAGCCAUGCCGCGUGUGUGAUGAAGGCCUUAGGGUUGUAAAACACUUUCAAUGGUGAAGAUAAUGACGGUAACCAUAGAAGAAGCCCCGGCUAACCUCGUGCCAGCAGCCGCGGUAAUACGAAGGGGGCUAGCGUUGUUCGGAAUCACUGGGCGUAAGCGCGUGUAGGUGGCUAUUUAAGUCAGAGGUGAAAGCCCAGGGCUCAACCCUGGAAUUGCCUUUGAAACUGAAUAGCUCGAGUAUCGGAGAGGAGUGUGGAAUUUCUAAUGUAGGGGUGAAAUCCGUAGAUAUUAGAAGGAACGCCAGUGGCGAAGGCGGCACUCUGGACGAUUACUGACACUGAGACGCGAAAGCGUGGGGAGCAAACAGGAUUAGAUACCCUGGUAGUCCACGCCGUAAACGAUGAGUGCUAGCUGUCGGGUCUUUAUGAUUCGGUGGCGCAGCUAACGCAUUAAGCACUCCGCCUGGGAAGUACGGUCGCAAGAUUAAAACUCAAAGGAAUUGACGGGGACCCGCACAAGCGGUGGAGCAUGUGGUUUAAUUCGAGGCAACGCGAAGAACCUUACCAGGACUUGACAUGCCUGUCACGGAUCGUAGAGAUACUUUCCUUCAGUUAGGCUGGACAGUGCACAGGUGCUGCACGGCUGUCGUCAGCUCGUGUCGUGAGAUGUUGGGUUAAGUCCCGCAACGAGCGCAACCCUUGUCCUUAGUUGGCAGCACGUAAUGGUGGGAACUCUAAGGAAACUGCCGGAGUUAAUCCGGAGGAAGGUGGGGACGACGUCAAGUCAUCAUGGCCCUUAUGUCCUGGGCUACACACGUGCUACAAUGGCUCCUACAACAGGUUAACCCCUAAAAGAAGUCCCAGUUCGGAUUGUCCUCUGCAACUCGAGGGCAUGAAGUUGGAAUCGCUAGUAAUCGCGUAUCAGCAUGACGCGGUGAAUACGUUCCCGGGUCUUGUACACACCGCCCGCCACACCAUGGGAGUUGUUUCUGCCUUAAGUCGGUGAGCCAAUCUGGCAGCCGCCCACGGUAGGGGCAGCGACUGGGGUGAAGCCGUAACAAGGUA